UACAGAGGGUGCAAGCGUUGUUCGGAAUUAUUGGGCGUAAAGCGCGUGUAGGUGGCUUUGUAAGUCGGGUGUGAAAGCCCAGGGCUCAACCCUGGAAGUGCACACGAUACUGCGAAGCUUGAGUACUGAAGAGGAGAGCGGAAUUCCCGGUGUAGAGGUGAAAUUCGUAGAUAUCGAGAGGAACACCAGUGGCGAAGGCGGCGAUCUGGACGAUGACUGACGCUGAGACGCGAAAGCGUGGGGAGCAAACAGG
rnacentral:rRNA from 1 species